rnacentral:rRNA from 1 species
GGGUUGUGAGGUUAAGCGACUAAGCGUACACGGUGGAUGCCCUGGCAGUCAGAGGCGAUGAAGGACGUGCUAAUCUGCGAAAAGCGUCGGUAAGGUGAUAUGAACCGUUAUAACCGGCGAUGUCCGAAUGGGGAAACCCAGUGCAAUUCGUUGCACUAUCGUUAACUGAAUACAUAGGUUAACGAGGCGAACCGGGGGAACUGAAACAUCUAAGUACCCCGAGGAAAAGAAAUCAACCGAGAUUCCCCCAGUAGCGGCGAGCGAACGGGGAGCAGCCCAGAGUCUGAAUCAGCUUGUGUGUUAGUGGAACGGUCUGGAAAGUCCGACGGUACAGGGUGAUAGUCCCGUACACCAAAAUGCACAGGUUGUGAACUCGAAGAGUAGGGCGGGACACGUGGUAUCCUGUCUGAAUAUGGGGGGACCAUCCUCCAAGGCUAAAUACUCCUGACUGACCGAUAGUGAACCAGUACCGUGAGGGAAAGGCGAAAAGAACCCCGGCGAGGGGAGUGAAAAAGAACCUGAAACCGUGUACGUACAAGCAGUGGGAGCACCUUCGGGUGUGACUGCGUACCUUUUGUAUAAUGGGUCAGCGACUUAUAUUCUGUAGCAAGGUUAACCGUAUAGGGGAGCCGCAGGGAAACCGAGUCUUAACUGGGCGUUAAGUUGCAGGGUAUAGACCCGAAACCCGGUGAUCUAGCCAUGGGCAGGUUGAAGGUUGGGUAACACUAACUGGAGGACCGAACCGACUAAUGUUGAAAAAUUAGCGGAUGACUUGUGGCUGGGGGUGAAAGGCCAAUCAAACCGGGAGAUAGCUGGUUCUCCCCGAAAGCUAUUUAGGUAGCGCCUCGUGAAUUCAUCUUCGGGGGUAGAGCACUGUUUCGGCUAGGGGGUCAUCCCGACUUACCAACCCGAUGCAAACUACGAAUACCGAAGAAUGUUAUCACGGGAGACACACGGCGGGUGCUAACGUCCGUCGUGAAGAGGGAAACAACCCAGACCGCCAGCUAAGGUCCCAAAGUCAUGGUUAAGUGGGAAACGAUGUGGGAAGGCACAGACAGCCAGGAUGUUGGCUUAGAAGCAGCCAUCAUUUAAAGAAAGCGUAAUAGCUCACUGGUCGAGUCGGCCUGCGCGGAAGAUGUAACGGGGCUAAACCAUGCACCGAAGCUGCGGCAGCGACACUAUGUGUUGUUGGGUAGGGGAGCGUUCUGUAAGCCUGCGAAGGUGACCUGUGAGGGUUGCUGGAGGUAUCAGAAGUGCGAAUGCUGACAUAAGUAACGAUAAAGCGGGUGAAAAGCCCGCUCGCCGGAAGACCAAGGGUUCCUGUCCAACGUUAAUCGGGGCAGGGUGAGUCGACCCCUAAGGCGAGGCCGAAAGGCGUAGUCGAUGGGAAACAGGUUAAUAUUCCUGUACUUGGUGUUACUGCGAAGGGGGGACGGAGAAGGCUAUGUUAGCCGGGCGACGGUUGUCCCGGUUUAAGCAUGUAGGCUGAUUGUCCAGGCAAAUCCGGAUAAUCAAGGCUGAGGUGUGAUGACGAGGCACUACGGUGCUGAAGUAACAAAUGCCCUGCUUCCAGGAAAAGCCUCUAAGCAUCAGGUAACAUCAAAUCGUACCCCAAACCGACACAGGUGGUCAGGUAGAGAAUACCAAGGCGCUUGAGAGAACUCGGGUGAAGGAACUAGGCAAAAUGGUGCCGUAACUUCGGGAGAAGGCACGCUGGUGUGUAGGUGAAGUCCCUGCGGAUGGAGCUGAGACCAGUCGAAGAUACCAGCUGGCUGCAACUGUUUAUUAAAAACACAGCACUGUGCAAACACGAAAGUGGACGUAUACGGUGUGACGCCUGCCCGGUGCCGGAAGGUUAAUUGAUGGGGUUAUCCGUAAGGAGAAGCUCUUGAUCGAAGCCCCGGUAAACGGCGGCCGUAACUAUAACGGUCCUAAGGUAGCGAAAUUCCUUGUCGGGUAAGUUCCGACCUGCACGAAUGGCGUAAUGAUGGCCAGGCUGUCUCCACCCGAGACUCAGUGAAAUUGAACUCGCUGUGAAGAUGCAGUGUACCCGCGGCAAGACGGAAAGACCCCGUGAACCUUUACUAUAGCUUGACACUGAACAUUGAGCCUUGAUGUGUAGGAUAGGUGGGAGGCUUUGAAGCGUGGACGCCAGUCUGCGUGGAGCCAACCUUGAAAUACCACCCUUUAAUGUUUGAUGUUCUAACGUUGGCCCCUGACCGGGGUUGCGGACAGUGUCUGGUGGGUAGUUUGACUGGGGCGGUCUCCUCCCAAAGCGUAACGGAGGAGCACGAAGGUUAGCUAAUCCUGGUCGGACAUCAGGAGGUUAGUGCAAUGGCAUAAGCUAGCUUGACUGCGAGCGUGACGGCGCGAGCAGGUGCGAAAGCAGGUCAUAGUGAUCCGGUGGUUCUGAAUGGAAGGGCCAUCGCUCAACGGAUAAAAGGUACUCCGGGGAUAACAGGCUGAUACCGCCCAAGAGUUCAUAUCGACGGCGGUGUUUGGCACCUCGAUGUCGGCUCAUCACAUCCUGGGGCUGAAGUAGGUCCCAAGGGUAUGGCUGUUCGCCAUUUAAAGUGGUACGCGAGCUGGGUUUAGAACGUCGUGAGACAGUUCGGUCCCUAUCUGCCGUGGGCGCUGGAGAAUUGAGGGGGGCUGCUCCUAGUACGAGAGGACCGGAGUGGACGCAUCACUGGUGUUCGGGUUGUCAUGCCAAUGGCACUGCCCGGUAGCUAAAUGCGGAAGAGAUAAGUGCUGAAAGCAUCUAAGCACGAAACUUGCCCCGAGAUGAGUUCUCCCUGAGACUUUAAGUCUCCUGAAGGAACGUUAAAGACGAUGACGUUGAUAGGCCGGGUGUGUAAGCGCAGCGAUGCGUUGAGCUAACCGGUACUAAUGAACCGUGAGGCUUAACCUUACAACGCCGAAG